UAAACUCACUCUCAUUUAGCUAUUUAAGAUGCAAGCUCCGCUCGAUCCCACUAUCCUUAUCAAUCUUCUCUUAACCGUCUUCUUAUUGGCUAUUUUCAUGUGGCUGUUCAUAUAUCUAACAAGGUAUGAAUACCCUAUUUUCAUACUUUCAUUCUGUGUUGAAAAGUUAAAACAAGAACCAAAUCUCUUCUACUUCCUUCAUUCUAACUCUUUUAAGUUACUUGUGUAGAUAAGUUAGAAUUUAGAUAAUUGGAGAGGAAAUUCUCCUAAUUACAUCAGUUCAUGUAUAUUCAAAAUUAUUUAUUCAUGGAAUAACAAGUCUCUACAUAAUAAAUGGUUUCAGUCUCAAACACACAAUCCCACCAAACCUUCACAACAGGCUCUAAUUCUAAUUGUAGAUCCCGAAUUUUUGUUUGGAUACUUUUUUUUAUGCUACUAUGAGUCGUAAUAAAAGUAGAAGAUAAAAUGAGUUGGAUGUUUCUUAUAAAAUGAAAUUAAUUUUGCAUUUAAUUAACUUUUAUUAACGUGCUGACUAUUGUAACUAAUAUGGCAUUAUUUAUGCGAUUCUAGAUUUAAUUAUGUUGAAAAAAGAAUAUUGUUUUAUGUGGUGGUGAGUGGACACCACCCUUGGGUGUCAUAGUGUAUCUAAUUCCUAUUAUUGAAAUUAAGUUGAAAUAUCUAAUGUUGAGGACCAUCCAAACAUUUUAUUUUUUAGACGAGAAAAGAGGAAAUGAAAUAGUUGUUUAGAAUGUAAUUUUAAUUAUAAAUUAUAAUUAGCUUGAGCUUAACAUUAAGUUAAUUUUGCAUGCAGAGGCGGAGAGAUACAUAAGUCAUUUGUUAAUGAUAAUGAAGGUGAACAAAACGUCUUUAAGGCGAACAUCCAAGCUCCAGGGAUUGACACUUCGUUCAUUACUGCAAGGAGCGAAGUUGGAAUCGGGGAAGACAGAUUGCUGGAUUUGGAAAGCAGGGGGUUUCAUACUUUUACAGUUAACUCAGCCUAUUUUCAAGUUAGAAAGGAUAGAGUUGGGGAGGUUUCUCCAGUUUACAGUAAGUUGUGGAGGUGAAAAGCUUUGCCUUCCGCUUUGGUCACUGCUUGGAGGGUGAUGGAGAAUGAGAUUGCUACUAGGGUAAAUUUGGAAAGGCGAGGGGUGGUGGUAGAGAAUCUGGUGUGUGGUUUGUGUGGGAAGGUGGAAGAGUCGUCCAGUCAUCUAUUUUCCGUCUGCGAGUUUACCUGGCGGGUGUGGUGUCUUUGUUUUGAGUGGCUUGGAGUGUCGUUUGUUAUUCACAAAGACCCUUUGGUAAACUUCAAACAAUUCAGGUUGUGUUCGGUUUCUAAUGUGGUUAAUGACGUUUGGGGGACGAUUUGGGUUGGUGUUGUGAGUGAAAUUUGGAGACAUAGGAACUCGGUGACCUUCGACAUUGGCGUGGUAGAUGCGCUUGAGGUAUUUGCACUGGUACAGGUAAAUGUUUGGUCUUGGAUUUUUGCAAAGUCCUGUUGUAAUUCCUUUACGUAUCCCAACUGGGUUUUGAACCCAGUGGGAUUGUAUGAGACUAAUUGUUUAAUGCUUUCUUGAGUUUGGUUUGGUUGUUCCUUAUUUAAGUUGGAAGGUGUUCCUUGGUUGGAGGUUGGUAAGGUGCUAACUCUUUAUGUAUAAGGGUUGGACCAUCCCUGAAGUAGUUCUCAUUUAUUUAUUUUUUAUUGUUGAUAAAAGAAAAGGUAAAGAUAUUUGAAUAAUUAUUUAAAUUAUCAAAUUAUUAUAUAUUAUUUUUGUAUUCUCUCUUAAUAUAAGUACUUCUAUUAUUUAUUAUUUUAUUCAAACAGAGGCUAAGGAAAGAUGAUUGGCGUUAAUUUUUUAUAUUCAUUUGAAGGUAUUUGUGGACAAUUGAUAAGAAUGAAACUUGGAUCCUUAAUCAAAUCAAAUUUUCCUCUUUCGUAAGAUAAGAUUUGAGAUCAAAGUCAUUUUAACUUAUAACUUAUUACUAUUGUUAUUAUGGAUGAUGAGUCAUCAUAAUUCAUUAUGAUUUUUUGUUUUUUUAAUAUAAUAAUAAUAAUAAUAGUAAUAAAUAAUAUAUUUUUUUAAAAAAAUUAUAUAAAUAAUCUCUUUUUUCAUCAUAAUUUUCCUUUUCUUAUUCUCUUAGAUUCUGUAAUACCAUCCAAACAAGCAGAAGUGACAAAUUGACCUAAAAGACUUUUAACUAGUAGCAUGAAAAUAAGACAAUAUUGCUUUAUAAGAUAUGCAUAAAAUUUUCUGCUAACAAAUAGAACAUUAAUACCUUCUUAUUUUUUUAAUAAAAUAUUUUUGUCUUAAGUUGGUUUCAGGCCACUCAUACAAAAUUUAUCACAAUGCAUAUAAGGUGAGUUAAUUUUAGUUGAGUUGAAUUUAACCAAAUUAAACAAAACUCCACUCUGAUAUGACUUUGAAAUAAUUAAGUUAAUUGUGUCAGUUUGAUAAUCGAUUAACCCAAUUCAAUAAAUUUCUAUAGAACAAUAUAUAUAUCAUAAUUCUUCUAUUUAUUUUGCAGCACAUUAAUCAGGUUUUCAUUUAAAAGUAUUAAUAAAAGCUUUUGCUUUUUAAAUAUAUGCGUUUUAUUGUUUUUUUUUUGUUUUGUACAAUAAACUAGCGUUUUAUUUUUUUGUUAUGGAAUUGUAAAUAAAAUUCAUAUACUUCAUUUGCGAUCCCAUAACUAUAUCGCUAGUAAAUUAAAGCUUCUUUUUAAGAAUUUUAAUAAUAGAUGCAAGACACAUAAUAAAAAAAGUCUUUAUUUACGGAAAAUACAUGCACCACUCAAACCAUUUUUGUUAUUUUUCACCUAACACUACUACAAAGAAAUCAUACACUACAAAAUAUCUUUAAUAAUCCAAAUUUCAUUACAGUAUCUCAUUACAAAAUUUCAACCCUUGGAGAGCAAGUUGUCCAUGUCACAUCCACAACUUCAUCUCAAGCUUCACCAUUCACUUCAUCAAAAACACCUAUUCCUUUGCUCAUCCCUAACCUAACAUUUGUGCCUGUUGCUUCAUCUUUAUCUGACAUGCAGUAAUUAACCUAUCUGCAUUAACAACCACCUUAAUUUUCCACGUGCUACUUUAUACAAACACAUAUUCGUUCAGUGCGCGUGAAUUGAUAUUUUUCCAAUUCCCUCCUUUUUCAAUGUUUUCAUUUGAAACAUCAAAUUCCAUUUGUCCACCUCUCUGGUCCUAUAAAUAUAUGUGCAUAUACCUUGUUCUCACCCUAUCUACUCAACUCACUCUCAUUUACCUAUUUAAGAUGCAAGCUCCGCUCGAUCCCACUUUCCUUAUCAAACUUCUCAUAACCGUCUUCUUAUUGGCUAUUUUCAUGUGUCUGUUCAUAUAUCUAACAAGGUAUGAAUACCCUAUUUUCAUACUUUCAUUCUGUGUUGAAAAGUUAAAACAAGAACCAAAUCUCUUCUACUUCCUUCAUUCUAACUCUUUUAAGUUACUUGUGUAGAUAAGUUAGAAUUUAGAUAAUUGGAGAGGAAAUUCUCCUAAUUAUAUCAGUUCAUGUAUAUUCAA
rnacentral:lncRNA from 1 species